CUACGGGCCGCUGCAGUGGGGAAUAUUGGGCAAUGGGCGCAAGCCUGACCCAGCAACGCCGCGUGAAGGAAGAAGGCUUUCGGGUUGUAAACUUCUUUGACCAAGGACGAAGAACGUGACGGUACUUGGAAAACAAGCCACGGCUAACUACGUGCCAGCAGCCGCGGUAAUACGUAGGUGGCAAGCGUUGUCCGGAUUUACUGGGUGUAAAGGGCGUGUAGGCGGGACUGCAAGUCAGAUGUGAAAUCUGGGGGCUUAACCCUCAAACUGCAUUUGAAACUGUGGUUCUUGAGUGAUGGAGAGGCAGGCGGAAUUCCUAGUGUAGCGGUGAAAUGCGUAGAUAUUAGGAGGAACACCAGUGGCGAAGGCGGCCUGCUGGACAUUAACUGACGCUGAGGCGCGGAAGCGUGGGGAGCAAACAGGAUUAGAUACCCCAGUAGUC
rnacentral:rRNA from 1 species